rnacentral:lncRNA from 1 species
CUGAUCUUGAAGACUGAGAUGCCUAUGAAAUGAGAAAGACUAAAUAGAUAACAUCCAUGGAGAAAUAGGAGGAUGGUUUUCUUCACUAUCCUCUGGCAUUCAGAGAAUUGCUUUGUAGACAUAUUGAUUGACGGCCAUCUAUCCACACAUCAGGCAUUCUAAAUGGCUCCCUUCUGGACUAUCUCAGAAGAAGAAAUAUUCAUUAGCCCUUCAAAACACAACACUGAGGACAACUCUGUCAAAGAAGAUAUUUCUACGCACAGCGAAAGUCAAAAAUUACAUUAUUCCUGGGAAACACACUCGCUUCAGCCUGCACCAACCAAAAUGACUGCUCAAAGGCCAUUCAGCCCCUUUAUCACUGUGGCUCAACUUUGAUUUUCUUCCCAGUUCAUCCAUGAUUCAGACUUCUUCUGUUUCAGGAGCUUUGCCCAUGCGUUCUGCCACCUUCUGCCAGGAAUUACACCUGUCCCAUCCCGUCGUCUCCUGAAUGUCCAGAGACAGGGGUCUCCCCGUGUUGUCCAGAACGGUCUUGAACUCCUGGUCUUCAAGCAAUCUUCCUGCCUUGGUCUCUCAAAGUGCUGGGAUUACAAGUGUGAGCCACCAUACCCGGUCAUAGCGCUCUUAUAAAAUGCAUCAUCACAUUUAUUUUAUAAAUUCAGAAACAAAAGUCUGUAUAGAGAAGUUUUGAAGUUACUAGGGACCUGAAAAUCAUACUGAAGAUGUCUGCAACUAAAAACUCGAAGAGUUCCGAGGCUAGAGGGGUCAGGAGAUGAAUAAAAACGUUAGCCCCAGCUGAUCACAAUGAGGUUAAUCACAAUACUAAUUAAAAAUACUACAGAUCCUAGGACAAUGGUCAGAAGAGUGACUAUACUUUCCUGUUUGCCCUUGGAAAAUCGAGGGCUGACUUUUCUACGUGCUCAGAUAACCUAAAUUGAUAGAGAGAAAGCUAGCAGAGGAUAAGAUAAACUAGUUAACUGUAAAUAAGAUUUUGCUGUUGGAGAAUCUUCUUGUUGCUCUGGUUUUAGAUAGCGGAGGAAGCCAAAAAAUAUCUGCUUUAAGUUACCAGGAGUUGAAGUUCAUCCCUGCUGAAGUUAACAGGUUGCUUCCCUUUUUCUGGUGUAUUCUUACUUUACUGGCAAAGAGAAAAUAAAUUAAUACCUUAUUGU